AACAAAAAUAGAAAGUUAUCAAAUCACUAUUGUUUUAAAAUGUAAAAUUUUGCGUCCAUCCUCAAGGUGAAGUGUUAAAGAUCAUUGUGUUAUACCAUCAAGAAUUGAAACGGUAUUUGAUCUACCAUAUACAGUGCAAAAUGGCAUAACCCGAAUCUGUCACGACUCAACCCAAUCUAUUUCUACUGUCGAGUCGGUUCAGUUUAUACUAUAAACCGAAUUAACUUGAUAGAUGUCGGGUCGGGUUGGUUUGAAAGCAAAUCCGACCUGAUCCAGCCAGAGUUGGUUUGAAAGCAAAUCCAACCUGUGAACAGCCCUAGUAUUAAUUGAAAGCCAUGGGUUAAUAUGCUAUUGACUGCCUAACAUGCUGUGAGUCCUUUAAUUGGUAUGGUAAAGUCAAUUUUCUUAAAUUUGCCAUGGACCUUCGUUUGGUAUGGCAAAGUCAUUUUUCUUAAAUUGGUCAUGGACCUUUAUUAAAGAACUCUUUUUCCCUCCUGGUAUAUGGUACAUAUGUUAGGAAAUAAUUAUGGAAACACAGGAUAUGCGAGGUGGGAGGACAUUCUUCAUUUCUGUCUGGGAGAUUGUGUGGUGUAUAGAUGAGUGUUCUGAAGGAUUUGUUUCCUGAUGUCUUAUAUUGCAGUGAAACAAUUAUAACUGUGGAUUUUCAAGUCAAGAAAUGCAGUGGGGGUAGCGUUUUUACUCUUGACGUUGAUUAUUUGAGGGAGUCUGUUGCUGCAAGUUUAGAUAAAUAUGCUUCAUGUUAUGGAAAGUCAAUCACUA
rnacentral:misc_RNA from 1 species